GAUGAACGCUGGCGGCGUGCCUAAUACAUGCAAGUCGAGCGAACAGACGAGGAGCUUGCUCCUCUGACGUUAGCGGCGGACGGGUGAGUAACACGUGGAUAACCUACCUAUAAGACUGGGAUAACUUCGGGAAACCGGAGCUAAUGCCGGAUAAUAUAUUGAACCGCAUGGUUCAAUAGUGAAAGACGGUUUUGCUGUCACUUAUAGAUGGAUCCGCGCCGCAUUAGCUAGUUGGUAAGGUAACGGCUUACCAAGGCGACGAUGCGUAGCCGACCUGAGAGGGUGAUCGGCCACACUGGAACUGAGACACGGUCCAGACUCCUACGGGAGGCAGCAGUAGGGAAUCUUCCGCAAUGGGCGAAAGCCUGACGGAGCAAUGCCGCGUGAGUGAUGAAGGUCUUCGGAUCGUAAAACUCUGUUAUUAGGGAAGAACAAAUGUGUAAGUAACUAUGCACGUCUUGACGGUACCUAAUCAGAAAGCCACGGCUAACUACGUG
rnacentral:rRNA from 1 species